rfam:Aedes aegypti strain Liverpool supercont1.128 genomic scaffold, whole genome shotgun sequence.
UGUUUUGUAGCUUAGUUAGUUAAAGCGCCGGUCUAGCGUAAACGGAGUCGUGAGUUCGAGUCUCACUAGAACAC